UACGGAGGGUGCAAGCGUUGUCCGGAUUUAUUGGGUUUAAAGGGUGCGUAGGCGGCUCUGUAAGUCAGUGGUGAAAUACUGCAGCUUAACUGUAGCAUUGCCAUUGAUACUGGAGGGCUUGAGUACAGAUGAGGUAGGCGGAAUUGAUGGUGUAGCGGUGAAAUGCAUAGAUACCAUCAAGAACACCGAUUGCGAAGGCAGCUUACUAAGCUGUAACUGACGCUGAGGCACGAAAGCGUGGGGAUCGAACAGG
rnacentral:rRNA from 1 species